rnacentral:rRNA from 1 species
AUACGGAGGACGCGAGCGUUAUCCGGAUUCAUUGGGUUUAAAGGGUGCGCAGGCGGCCGUGCAAGUCAGCGGUGAAAGCCCGGGGCUCAACCCCGGAAGUGCCGUUGAUACUGCAUGGCUGGAAUGCGGUCGAGGCGGGCGGAACGUGGCGUGUAGCGGUGAAAUGCGUAGAUAUGCCACAGAAAGCCGAUAGCGGAGGCAGCUGGCCAGGCCUGCAUUGACGCUCGGGCACGAAAGGGUGGGGAUCGAACAGGAUUAGAUACCCUGGUAGUCCACGCCGUAAACGAUGGGCGCUCGUCGUCGGCGGCAGACAGUCGGCGGCCAAGCGAAAGCGAUAAGCGCCCCACCUGGGGAGUACGGUCGCAAGGCUGAAACUCAAAUGAAUUGACGGGG